rnacentral:rRNA from 1 species
UACGAAGGGGGCUAGCGUUGCUCGGAAUCACUGGGCGUAAAGCGCACGUAGGCGGAUUGUUAAGUCAGGGGUGAAAUCCUGGAGCUCAACUCCAGAACUGCCUUUGAUACUGGCGAUCUUCGAGUCCGGGAGAGGUGAGUGGAACUGCGAGUGUAGAGGUGAAAUUCGUAGAUAUUCGCAAGAACACCAGUGGCGAAGGCGGCUCACUGGCCCGGACUACGACGCUGAGGUGCGAAAGCGUGGGGAGCAAACAGG